rnacentral:rRNA from 1 species
AUUGAACGCUGGCGGCAGGCCUAACACAUGCAAGUCGCACGCGAAAGUUCCCUUCGGGAUGAGUAGAGUGGCGGACGGGUGAGUAACGCGUAGGAAUCUGUCCCGUAGUGGGGGAUAACCCGGGGAACUCGGGCUAAUACCGCAUACGCCCCACGGGGAAAGCGGGGGAUCUUCGGACCUCGUGCUAGGGGAGGAGCCUGCGUCGGAUUAGCUAGUUGGUAGGGUAAAGGCCUACCAAGGCGACGAUCCGUAGCNGGUCUGAGAGGAUGAUCAGCCACACCGGAACUGAGACACGGUCCGGACUCCUACGGGAGGCAGCAGUGGGAUAUUGCGCAAUGGCGAAAGCCUGACGCAGCCAUGCCGCGUGUGUGAAGAAGGCCUU